CGCAUGCAUACAUGUGCACACACAUAUACAUGCACACAUGCACGUGCAUAUGUAUGUACACAUGCACACACCUUUGUUCUUGAGAGUUAACAAUAUUCCUAGCAGCCAAAGAAGAGAGAAAAAAUGAUUAAAAAAAUUAUCCAGAAAAAGAAAAAGAAAAACAGAAUGUGUAUUCUCUUUACGCUCACAGAGAACAAAAUCGAAAAGAUUAACACAGGAAUUUUUCAAAAAAAAAAUCAUAAAAAAUGCUAUACAGAAAAGAACAGCUAAAAGUUUCCAGUAAGAAACCAGGUGUGAAAGGUCAAGGAACAAACUUACACAGGAUUACUUUCCCUGAACAAAGCUAGGGAAAAUACACACACCAGUAACUGUGCUGUAGUUUAGACUUGGAAUGUUCUUGAAAGGUCCAGGAAUUAGAGGUUACUGGGAGGCAGCAGGAUUUU
rnacentral:sRNA from 1 species